rnacentral:rRNA from 1 species
AUACGUAGGGGGCGAGCGUUGUCCGGAAUUAUUGGGCGUAAAGGGUUCGUAGGCGGUUAUUUAAGUCAGGUGUGAAAGGCGCAGGCUCAACCUGUGUAAGCACUUGAAACUGAGUAACUUGAGUUAAGGAGAGGAAAGUGGAAUUCCUAGUGUAGCGGUGAAAUGCGUAGAUAUUAGGAGGAAUACCAGUGGCGAAGGCGACUUUCUGGACUUAUACUGACGCUGAGGAACGAAAGCGUGGGGAGCAAACAGGAUUAGAUACCCUGGUAGUCCACGCCGUAAACGAUGAGUGCUAGGUGUUGGGGGUCAAACCUCGGUGCCGCAGCUAACGCAUUAAGCACUCCGCCUGGGGAGUACGUACGCAAGUAUGAA